rnacentral:rRNA from 1 species
GCUCGUAGUUGAAUUCUGGGCCGGGCCGGCUUCCGUUUCGGUCGCCUCCGUCCGAGUCCAUCCGCCUGGGGACUUGCUUGUAGUUUACUCUGCGGCAUGCACAACCAGGCACUUUACUUUGAAGAAAUUAGAGUGUUUCAGGCAGGCUUUCGCUUGUAUACACCAGCAUGGAAUAAUAGAAAAGGACUGCUUCAAUUUUAUUGGUAUAUUUGGAGUAGUAAUGAUUAACAGGAACAGUUGGGGGCAUUCGUAUUUAGUAGUUAGAGGUGAAAUUCUUGGAUUUACUAAGGACGAACUAAUGCGAAAGCAUUUGCCAAGGAUGUUUUCAUUAAUCAAGAACGAAAGUUAGGGGAUCAAAGACGAUUAGAUACCGUCCUAGUCCUAACCAUAAACUAUACCGACUCGGGAUUGGGAGGGCGACGUGCCCUUUCAGCAUCGUUACGAGAAAUUAAAGUCUUUGGGUUCUGGGGGGAGUAUGGUCGCAAGGCUGAAACUUAAAGGAAUUGACGGAAGAGCACCACCAGGAGUGGAGCCUGCGGCUUAAUUUGAUUCAACACGGGGAAACUUACCAGGGCAAGACCUUAAUAGGAUUGUCAGCUUGAGAGUGCUUACUUGAUUCGAGGGAAAGUGGUGCAUGGCCCGCUUUAGUUCGUGGUCUGAGCUGUCCCGCUAAUCCGCUUAACGAACGAGACCUUAAUCUGCUAACUAGCAGCGGUUAAACCAUAGCCGUAUACUUCUUAGAGAGACUUAAUUGGCAACAGUGAGGAAGUUUGAGGCAACGCGAGGUCCGUGAUGCCCUUAGAUGUCCUGGGCCGCACGCGCGCUACACUGACACGUUCAUCAAGUAUUAG